rnacentral:rRNA from 1 species
UACGAAGGGGGCUAGCGUUGUUCGGAAUUACUGGGCGUAAAGCGCGCGCAGGCGGCCAUUCAAGUCAGGGGUGAAAGCCCAGAGCUCAACUCUGGAACUGCCUUUGAAACUGUAUGGCUUGAGUAUGAGAGAGGUGAGUGGAAUUCCCAGUGUAGAGGUGAAAUUCGUAGAUAUUGGGAAGAACACCGGUGGCGAAGGCGGCUCACUGGCUCAUUACUGACGCUCAGGCGCGACAGCGUGGGGAUCAAAC